GGAUGCAGGAGAGGUGUGUGGCCUGUGGAAACUGGUGGAGGCCAGAAAGCAGGUUCUCCCCCAAGCUUCCAGAGGAAAAAGAUUUGCCAGCACAAUGCCAGAAAGCAACAGAAAAUGGAUGAACGGUGAUUGAAGAUCAAUGGUGAUUGAAGAAAACACAAAGAGGAAGCCAAGUGGUGAUAGUGGGUGAACAGUGAGAAAACCAGUGGAGACCUAAGAGAUGAAAGGACCCUGUCACUAGUGGAGACAUUGUUUGACACGACGGACAGACCAUGGAAGAUUGCAGGGUCACCAAAGGUCAGCAAGAGUGCCUCAAAAGAUCACCACCCAAAGUUCGUAACCCCCCAACACUGGGUCUCAUUAAAAUGCUUUUUUACCUUG